CAAUCUCAGAAUGCAAAAUUAAUAUUGACUCAACUAUCACUAAAACCAAAAUCAAUAACGAGAGCCAGCACUCCUCUAAGCCAAGUCCUGGUGUAAUUAUCCAGGAAACCUUGAAUCUACUCAAAUGCAACAAGAACAAUGAAGAUGGUCGCCACAAUCUGAUGGAAUAAAUUAUUUUACUGCAACUUUACCCAGUGAUGGUAACAAUUGAACUAGUAAUGCUGCAUAGUGAAUUUAUUCUACAGUUGGUGUAAUAAAGGGGAACGGUAGAAAUAAGACAAUUGAAUACAAUCCCCUAUAACUUGUGUUAACCUUUUUUCGUGAGAUGUGCUUUUUAAAAAAAAUAAAUUUAUAUUAAAGAUUUAGCAAAUGACAUCCCAAUCUAGUACAGUCUUGGCACAGUCAGGGCAUACAUUUCAAAUAAGGAAGUGAGAA